GAAAUAUGAUUCUAAACCAGAGGUGGGCAAUCCUGGUCCUCGAGGGCCAGGAUUGCAACUCUUAUGCCCCUUUUCCACUGGCCGGCUCGCUUUAAAUGCGUUUCCACCAGCCCUUUUCAACGGGGCUGGCCCUGCUUUUUAGGGUCCUGCUUCAGAGCAGGGCCAGCCGGGCCGGCCCUGGUUUGGUAGGUGACGCAAGCUUCGCUGCUGUUCACUGAUUGGCUGAGGGCGUGGACAAGACGGAGCAGCGGAGAGAGAAGAAAAAUGAAGGCGCAACGUUUGAAACUCGCUGCAACACGGAAGUGAUGGAAGAUACAAACAAGCCGUUAACAUGCCGGCUUUUUUCUUUGCUUCGGAUUUCAAUAUUCAGCAGCAGCUCGAUGGAGCCGUGAGGAAUGAGUCGUUUUUGUCAGUAGUGGAGCGUAUGUAAAACCUCGUUAGCCGCUUGGGAGACGACGGAGCCCCACGGUGAACACCGACGCAGACGCAGCUGACGCCGCUGCUGCUCUCCAGCCAGGGAGCAGAAGGAGAGCAACAUGGCUGACAUGAUGGAGAUGAGGAGAACCAUCAGAACAACAGGAUCUCCUUCAGGAGGAACCAGCUACCAGCUGAGAUGGCAGAGCUCCAUGGAGAAUUGAGACAAACAAAAGAAAAAUAAAAGUUGUUGUGUCUCAGUGAACAAAGUCUCUAUUUCUGCUCACUCCACACAUUAUUGUACUUACUGUAGUUUAUAUGGCAUUAAGGUCCUCCUAAUACAAUCCUCCCAAAAUGUGAGGAGCUUUAGCCAGAGUGAAAAUAACAUUACAUAAAUAUUUCAUUGAACUUAACAUUGUAGAUUACCAAUGAAAGUAUCCAAAACUGAAUACAUUAUUCAGCAAACCAAACAUUUUGGCAUUAUUAUCAGGGUUUCUAUUAACAAGAACCCAAAAUACAAAUCAUGUUAGUUAGUUUCUAUUUAUACAUCAUCAUUCUAUCCACUCACUGUUUCUGUCUUCCUGCAGAAUCUUCAAUGUAAGAAAGGGAGAAAAUGUGUCCAAAACCUGUAACCUUAAUUAGUGAUAAAUAAGACUGAGUUUAAACUUUAAAUUCUUAGUGUCCAAAAUGUGAAAACAUGGAACUAGAACCAGUCAGAUUGGAAGGAAUAUGGUUUUAUUUGUUCUCAGUAUACCUUGGACAUCAGGUGAAUCAUAAUUAAACGUAUUGAGAAGUUAAAAACAACAGACACAUUUUUUUUUAUCAGAAAUGUUUCAUCAGCAUAUUGAGCUCAUGUGAUUCCUGCUCCAGAAAGGUGAAGGUCUCUGGACAUCCUGAAGGUAAACACCGACCAGCAGUCAGGAAGAC